rnacentral:lncRNA from 1 species
UUUGCUUCUGUCUGUCAAAAAAUGAAUUGUGCUCCAGGCUCCACUUUUAAAGGUUGUGAAGCCUGUUUAAUCUUUACUUAUCUGCUUAGAUACGAACACACUGAAGUCAUUCAAUUUUCAACAUCAAUGUAUUUUUGCAACCAUACAGACUUACUAAAGGAAUACAACGUGGAACUGAAGGGCCCCUUCAACUAUGCAGCUCGAGACGAAGCUGGCAUUCCCCGUGAUUGGUAAGAAACGAUCCCAAUUGUUUUCUAGGUUGUACCUUCGAUAUUUCAGCUGAAAAAUUCGAUUCUACCACUUCACCUCCAUAUGAACCUUAACAUUUUGGUUUCAUAUGCUUCUGUCUAGGUAUGAUGAUGCAUCAUCCAUGAGCAAUCAGGACAAGAAAGACAAAGAUGGCCACAAGAAACAACUCUGUGAAGUAAUAUUAUUUUUAAGAUAAAUUAUUUUAAAAAUAUGUAUGUCAGUUUGCAUGAGAUGACUACAUUAAAGUUCUUUAAGUUGUGACUGCAUAAUCUACUUACACUUUUUCCAUCUAGCUGUUCUUCUGGCUUGAUAUUGAUGUGUUGUUACAGGUUUACGAGAGGCUGGCAUCCAUCAUUGCUAUGGAAAAAGAGAAUUCAAGUUGGACCAAACCGCCUGAAUGAUCUUGGCACCAUAUC